rnacentral:rRNA from 1 species
UACGAAGGGGGCUAGCGUUGUUCGGAAUUACUGGGCGUAAAGCGUGCGCAGGCGGCUUCUCAAGUCAGGGGUGAAAGCCCAGAGCUCAACUCUGGAAUUGCCUUUGAGACUGAGUGGCUUGAGUACGAGAGAGGUGAGUGGAAUUCCCAGUGUAGAGGUGAAAUUCGUAGAUAUUGGGAAGAACACCGGUGGCGAAGGCGGCUCACUGGCUCGUAACUGACGCUCAUGCACGACAGCGUGGGGAUCAAACAG